UACAGAGGUCUCAAGCGUUGUUCGGAUUCAUUGGGCGUAAAGGGUGCGUAGGUGGCGCCGUAAGUCAGGUGUGAAAUUUCGGAGCUUAACUCCGAAACUGCAUUUGAUACUGCGGUGCUUGAGGACUGGAGAGGAGAGCUGGAAGUUCACGGUGUAGCAGUGAAAUGCGUAGAUAUCGUGAGGAAGACCAGUGGCGAAGGCGGGUCUCUGGACAGUUCCUGACACUGAGGCAGCGAAGGCCAGGGGAGCAAACGGG
rnacentral:rRNA from 1 species